ACAUCCAGGUCCCUAAAAAGAUGUGAGUUGAUCAUAAGUACUCGUGAUGAGCUGGAAUGAUGAGAAGGCUACACUCUUAGCAUAGCUGUGAGCCAAAACUAAAGACAACUCAUUUCUCCAGCUGAUACAAGCUUGUAUGAGAAAGAAGAACUGGUGCUGCAGGAAGUCAAAUACCGCCAGCUUAGCGGGUCAGCAUCCUCUCCUCCCACAUAAGCAGAGAUCGGAGCAUGAGAUAAAAUACCUGGAUGCCCUUUGCUCCAGCCUCGUGCUCCCACAACUUUGCUUCUGACAGAGUACUUAUCUCUCUGACCACUGGGAAACUGCUAAAAAAGAGAAACUUGAAAAGGAUUGGACCUUUCUGUGCAAAUCUCUUUGAAAAUUGCCACCUCCCAGGUUAGCUUUUAAGAGAAGCCCAAUAUAUCAGGAACCUGAAAAUAAAGGAAAAUUUGCACACUGAAACAUCACUUGCUAAUAGUUCUAUUAUUGGAAAUGGAAACAUGGAAUUCUAGAAAAAGAAAUGUCAUUAUGGGGUUAGGAAUUAACCACUUGCUACCUGUGUUAAUGUGACGUGAUUAAAAGAAGCUGCAGGAAGUUCCUGAAAUUAUUGAAACAAAAAUAAAGUAUUUCCCCCUGUAAUCUAA